CAGUGUUGACUCAGAAUAACUAAGCUGAUCGUACAACUUAAAGUUGACGACGUGUCUUUCAAGUAUCUGCCUUAUCAACUUUCGAUGGUAGGAUAUUCGCCUACCAUGGUGGUGACGGGUAACGGAGGAUAAGGGUUCGACUCCGGAGAAGGGGCCUGAGAAAUGGCCACUACGUCUAAGGAUGGCAGCAGGCGCGCAAAUUACCCACUCUCGGCUUGAGGAGGUAGUGACGAGAAAUAACGAGGUGUAGCCCAAAGGGUUGCGCCAUCGGAAUGGGUACAAUCUAAACCCUUUAACGAGUAUCUAUGAGAGGGCAAGUCUGGUGCCAGCAGCCGCGGUAAUUCCAGCUCUCAAAAUGCAUAGAAUUAUUGCUGCGGUUAAAAAGCUCGUAGUUGGAUCUCUGCUGGGGUGGGGGUCUUCCCUUAGGGGAUAGUACUCUUCAUCCCGGCUUGGCGUCGAUUAAAUGCACACUCAUGUGUGUAUUCGAUCGACACGUUUACUUUGAACAAAUCAGAGUGCUCAACACAGGCGUCUCGCCUGAAUGUUCGUGCRUGGAAUAAUGGAAGAGGAUUUCGGUUCUGUUUUAUUGGUUUUUUGGAUGCCGAGGUAAUGGUUAAUAGAGACAAACGGGGGCAUUCGUACCGCUGCGUGAGAGGUGAAAUUCUUGGACCGCAGCGAGACGCACGACAGCGAAAGCAUUUGCCAAGCGUGUCUUCAUUAAUCAAGAACGAAAGUCAGAGGUUCGAAGGCGAUCANAUACCGCCCUAGUUCUGACCGGAAACGAUGCCAACUAGCGAUCCGGUCGUGCUUUUUAUACUUUCCAGGGGGGAG
rnacentral:rRNA from 1 species